CAGCAGCCACGGGAAUACGAAGGGGGCUAGCGUUGUUCGGAAUCACUGGGCGUAAAGCGCACGUAGGCGGACUUUUAAGUCAGGGGUGAAAUCCCAAGGCUCAACCUUGGAACUGCCUUUGAUACUGGAAGUCUUGAGUUCGGGGGAGGUGAGUGGAACUGCGAGUGUAGAGGUGAAAUUCGUAGAUAUUCGCAAGAACACCAGUGGCGAAGGCGGCUCACUGGCCCGAUACUGACGCUGAGGUGCGGAAGCGUGGGGAGCAAACAGGAUUAGAUACCCCAGUAGUCCCUGUCUCUUAUAC
rnacentral:rRNA from 1 species